UCCAUGCCAUCCUCACUUUCUCCUUUCUCUCCAAUGCCCAAGGGUUGGGCAUCCCAUCUUCCCACACACCAAAGUUGAGGGUGAUUUCUUCUAUAUCAAGAAGCAAGAAGAAAUACUGCAGUUUAAGUGUUGAAAUAGCAGUCAAAGAUCAACAUUUGAUCAAAGAUCCAAAAGGUUAAGAUUCAUCUUGAAGAAGAUGGAUAAAGUAUGAGAAGAAAGGUUCAAGAUUGAUCCUGAUGGAUACCUAUAGAGAUCGGAC
rnacentral:lncRNA from 1 species